GGAUAGAUGAACCCGGGUGAUGGUUAUCCCGGGGUAAGCGUGUAGGGGGUUCCUUUUGAGAGAUCGGAACAUAACUCUGAGACGCGAUGCCGAGCGACAUACUGCGAAGUCAUCGAUUCCAUGCUGCCAAGAAAAGCCCAGCAGUGAGCUGUCACGGUGCCCGUACCCCAUACCGACACAGGUGGGCGGGUAGAGAAUACUAAGGCGAGCGGGAGAACUGUGGUUAAG
rnacentral:rRNA from 1 species